GGAGGGCUCGCAUAGUGGCCUAGUGCGGCGGUCUUGAAAACCGCUAUGGCUGGUAACAGUCAUCGUGGGUUCGAAUCCCACGCCCUCCGCCA
rnacentral:tRNA from 1 species